AUAAAUAUAUACUCAUUAAGAUGUCUUUCUGCUUGUCAUUUAAGUAUUUGUCUUCUGUGACAGGUAAAUAUUGGACGGGUUUGAAUUGUUUUAAUUAUUUAGUGAGUGGAAUUUCUAUUCUAAUCGGCUAACUUGGACAUAUAUCUGUUUGAUCAUGAAAUCGUAUCUUAAGGCGAACGAUUCCGAACUGUUCAACUUGCUCAUACAGUCAUUAAAUCAUUUAAUUUACAAUCAGCGCGAACCUUAAAAUAAGUUGACAAAUCUCGUUUUGAGCCAGCGUGCUCAUCAUUAGCCUCGUUGUCGCCGGAAGUUUGGACAAUGGAACAACAUGUCUCUGACAAACGACCUCUUUUAAACGGAAUUCCAUUAUCUUAUUUACGAUGUAAACAACAUCAACUAUGCUUCAUUUAAAAACGGUUUGAAUCUAAAAAACUUAGAAUAAUUUUCUAAGAAGUUUUCGAUAAUGAGCUUGAGUACUUUGUAUAUAAAAUAAUUAUGGAAUAUUAAAGAAUUUUACUAAAUAAAUAUAUGCAGACAAAUUUUUAUUGUUUUGUUGAAAUUUGCAACAAACUUUGGCAAGACGAGCCACUGGCUUGAGCCGUGAAGCCCUGAUGAAAGCUAUAAAAAACGAAUAAAUUGAAGUAUAUAAUAAAUCGCUGAAGUAUAUGGAAGUAUCUUCGUCAUAAGCAACAGAAACAUUUGGUUGACAACAGCUGAAGAAGAAUAGCAAAAAUAAUAUAUAUAAAACGUGGAUC